rnacentral:rRNA from 1 species
CCUACGGGGGGCUGCAGUGGGGAAUAUUGGACAAUGGGGGGAACCCUGAUCCAGCCAUGCCGCGUGUGUGAAGAAGGCCCUCGGGUUGUAAAGCACUUUCAGUGAGGAAGAACGCCUGGUGGUUAAUACCCAUCAGGAAAGACAUCACUCACAGAAGAAGCACCGGCUAACUCUGUGCCAGCAGCCGCGGUAAUACGGAGGGUGCGAGCGUUAAUCGGAAUUACUGGGCGUAAAGCGCGCGUAGGUGGCUUGAUAAGCCGGUUGUGAAAGCCCCGGGCUCAACCUGGGAACGGCAUCCGGAACUGUCAAGCUAGAGUGCAGGAGAGGAAGGUAGAAUUCCCGGUGUAGCGGUGAAAUGCGUAGAGAUCGGGAGGAAUACCAGUGGCGAAGGCGGCCUUCUGGACUGACACUGACACUGAGGUGCGAAAGCGUGGGUAGCAAACAGGAUUAGAUACCCUAGUAGUC